GCGCCUGUAGCUCACUUGGAUAGAGCAUCUGCCUUCUAAGCAGAAUGUAGCAGGUUCGAUUCCUGCCAGGCGCA
rnacentral:tRNA from 1 species